AUUGAACGCUGGCGGCACGCCUAACACAUGCAAGUCGAGCGGCAGCGCGAUAUGUAGCAAUACAUAUUGGCGGCGAGCGGCGGACGGGUGAGGAACACUUAGGAACCUACCCUCGAGUGGGGGAUAACCAAGGGAAACUUUGGAUAAUACCGCCUGAUUUCGAGCGAGCAAAGCUGCCGCAAGGUGGCGCUCGAGGAGGGGCCUGCGUCCGAUUAGCCAGUUGGUGAGGUAAGAGCUGACCAAGACGAUGAUCGGUAACUGGUCUGAGAGGACGACCAGUCACACUGGGACUGAGACACGGCCCAGACUCCUACUGGAGGCAGCAGUGGGGAAUAUUGUACCAUGGGGGCAACCCUGAUCCAGCGAUGCCGCGUGAGUGAAGAAGGCCUUCGGGUCGUAAAGCUCUUUAGGUUGGGAAGAAGAGUGAUGGAGGAAAUGCUAUCACUUUGACGGUACCGACAGAAUAAGCACCGGCAAACUCUGUGCCAGCCGCCGCAGUAAGAC
rnacentral:rRNA from 1 species